rnacentral:rRNA from 1 species
UACGGGGGGGGCAAGCGUUGUUCGGAAUUACUGGGCGUAAAGGGCUCGUAGGCGGCCAACUAAGUCAGACGUGAAAUCCCUCGGCUUAACCGGGGAACUGCGUCUGAUACUGGAUGGCUAGAGGUUGGGAGAGGGAUGCGGAAUUCCAGGUGUAGCGGUGAAAUGCGCAGAUAUCGGGAGGAACACCAAUGGCGAAGGCAGCUCGCUGGGACGGUACUGACGCUGAGACGCGAAAGCGUGGGGAGCAAACGGG